UCUUGCACUUGAAGCGGGGAAAGUUUGCGCGGCAGUGUGUUUAAUUUAUUCUGUUUUAACGGUUUUAGAAAUGGAUAUUCAGAAACAGAGAGAUGGAUUUCAGACAUCCCUAAAUUUGAAGCUGUCAAAUGGUUAUAUUUUACCUGAAGGUAGAAUGACACCAAACACACUUUUUGUUGGAGGAAUCGACAUGAAGGUGGAUGAGAAUGAAAUCCGGGACUUCUUUGCGAGAUUUGGCGCGGUGAAAGAAGUGAAAAUCAUCACUUACCGCGGAGGCAUCUGCAAAGGAUAUGGAUUUGUUUACUUCAAUGAAGAUGUCGACAUCCAAACCAUCGUUGAACAACAGAUCAGUUUUAAAGGACGGAAACUGAAGCUGGGUCCAGCAAUCAUGAAGGAAAGGAGCUCACGUUCCAUGCCGUCUCACCUGGUUGGUCAGGUCCCCUGGAUGAGCCCCUCCCAGUACAUCUACUGCACCUGCUGCUCUCCUAUGGGAGUGGGCGUGGCUCAGCCCUCACCUGUACUCAACGGGGGCAAUCCCUACAUCCAGCCUUACUCAUAUAACGGCCUUCAAGGAGUCAUGAUGCCACAGAUGCCCAUGAGCUACUCACAAACCGCCUACGCGUACCAGUACGCCUCACCACACUGGACCGGGGAGCAGAGGACACGGUUUGUCAACCAGCCGGCUCAUUAUUUGAUGUGAUGUGGUGCCCCGUUUCCAGAACUUUGUGGACUGUGGAGUCCAGACUCUGCUGACUCUGCUGUAGCCCACUGACCCUCCUGUACCAGGGGGUGAUGUGUGCCAGUCUGCACUAUGACAAGAUGACAUCCUGGCCUUUGGAGCGCUAGAAGCAACAGAAACUUAAAAAAAUAUACAUUACCUGGAUGCUUUCUCUCCCUGACAUCCCUCGCUCGCUUCGAGACCCAUUUUAACACACCGACCGUGGCGGCUCAACACUUGCACCUGAUGGGCGUGGCCACUGUGACUGCUCCAUGAUUGGCUUGGCUAGGACCACGGUCCUGGGGUUUAGACCGCUUUUAAACCACCUCAACCACUGUCACGCAGGGAAGAGAGGAAGUAAUUUUGGUGCUUCAGCAUUCUCAUAACACAAGGCAAUGUGUGGUGUCACUUUUUUUUUUUUCCUUUGUGGUUUUUGUUGGGUUUUUUGAUUGUCCCAAACCAAAAAAAGACUUUUACGCUCACCUGUGUAUAUUUAUAUUUUAUUUUUUACUAUUUAUGUUGAAAUUAUUUUAAUGUCGGUUUGUUUGGGUUUAAGCUUUUAGCGGGUCCUCUCUGUACAUAGAUUUGUAAUACAGUAAAUUUAAUCUUUAGAAUAGUGAGAUCGAUUAACUUUCCCUUUAUUAAUUCACGUUCCAUCCCCAUACUCCUUCCAUUUAAGAUAAACCAGUGCGUUGAAUUAUUAUGAGGGCAGCAUUGGGCACAACUCUUAACACAUUUUUCAGGUACUAUUUUUUUUGUUCCUGUCUUAAUAAGCUACUUUAGUCACCGUUUUCCAUCACUGAAUUCCAAUUGCCUGCCUGCUUUUCUGUUAUGAGGGGUUUAUUGAAAAUAUUUUUUGUUUAUUUAGAUUUGAGAUGCACUAAUAUCUUGAGUGUUGCUGUUUCCAAAGUUAUGGAUCAUUUUAUUGUGGCACUGGUCAAUGUUUCUUAGGUUACGUCCCAAAUGGCACCCUGUUCCCUAUUUAGUGCACUACUUUUGACUAAGGCCCUGAUCAAAAGUAGUGAACUAUAUGGGGUGCCAUUUGGGGAGUUGACUUGGACUGUUCCAGCUCUUCCUCUUCCAAGAGGAAAAUCACUGUCAAUUUCCCCCGAAGGUGUUGAUAAACUACUUUUAUAAUGCAGCCUGGGUCGGGAAACCUUUUUUUUUUUUUUUUCACUCAAAUUAAGGACAUAACUAAAAGCAAUGUGUUCCAUCACUACAGUUUGAAGUUCACUUUAUUGAGAGAAAUUGUUGCUCUGAUUUUUGUUCAGUGUGUUUUAUAAGUUGUUGUUUUUGAGGUGGUGUCAUUUAGAUUUCAUUAAUGAAAACCCUGAUGUAAUCACGUUUCAGGCCGAUGGGUUAACUGGGUGCAUUUAAAUGGGAUAACAACAUUUGGAUACAUCGGGUCAUGGGUGGGAUUUCAUAUCAGUAACCAUCCAGCAGUUUGCCUAGGUGGAUAUGGACUAGAUCUCUUGGUUUAGUUUUCUUUGUCAAGUCUCCUGCUGUUACCCAUGCUGUUUUGUACCUAAGCUUGUUUAAAAUGGCACCCUAUUGCUUACAGUGCACUACUUCUCUGGUCGAAAGUAGUGCACUAUAGGGAAUAACAUUUGGGAUGUAACCUAGCCAUUGAUCUUAAAGGAAUCUAAUCAUGUUGAUGGGAAUAUGAUGGUUAGAGCUUUUCUAGAUGACUGUACUGGUUUAAGUUGGGUUCUUGUUGAGGUGUUCUUGUUGAGGUGUUCAUGUUGACAAUAAGGUUUGGUUUUUGUUUAAAAACAAAAUGUAUACAAAUAAAUUUGA